UGUGUAACUUUGGACACAUUGUGUGUUAAUAUUGUGCUUAACUGUUUACACAAUGACUGUGUUAAACACAUUUAAACAGUAUGUUGGAAUACAAUGCAUUUUUGCCUGUAGUCAAAUGGCACUGUGUUAUGAGUUUAUGUAGUUUAUUUAUCAUGAUGGUAAUAUAAAAUAAGCAUUUGUGAGUAUGUGGCUAAAAAUUCUAUAUUUCGGGGUUUAUACUGUGAAUUUCUGCACGCGCAUGCGCAGUGACGUUCUUUUUCAACUGACGCUCUCCCAGAGCUCUAUCGGAUAACGCACCUCUCUGCCUCAGGAGAUGGAAGUCGAGGAACAAAUUACAGUCACUCUUAACACUUCUACACCGCGUUCUUGCAACUGUCUUCAUAGACAGAAAGGAAAUAUGGAGAAAACUAUUCACAGAUGGCAAUGUUGGAGAUCUGAUAGCCUUAGUCAAACAGGUCUCAACUAUCUUUUGAUUGAAUAUUGAAAUUUGACAGAUUUUCAAGUUCAUUGACACUGAUGUAAAUGCAGGAGUAAAGGAGCUUGGCAAAUUUCAAAUAUAUUAUAUUGCAAGCAAUACCCCGGACUCAUUAGAAAGAAGUGUGCACUCAUUACAGUGUCCUUUAACAGAUUCAACUCAGACUGGCAACACAACUAGUUUGCUGACGCUGCUUGAAGAAAAGCCUCUUCAAUCCUGAGAGAACAUGAAGACUGUCAAAAAGUUGCUGUCAGUGUCCUUGUAGAGAAACAUGGAUUGUGACUAUCCUUCUGGUAUAGAAAAGCUGGUACUAGCAAAAGAGAUUCUGUCAUUGUUCCCCUCAGGUGCCCUUUGGUGAAAAUGAGGGACAUGAGAAUGCCAUCACACAGUCGGACGGAAGCUUCAACAGAGCCAGUGGGUGUACAGUUUAAAACAUCAUCAUUGUACACCGCAACCUUCUUCACCAAGUCCAGAUGAAACCGUACCAAUUACAGAAGAAGAUGGAUAACAACAAAAUCCCUUCAAAAUCUCUUGCUGAAAUCUUCAAGGACUAUCCCAGAUUUCUUGACAUGCCAGCUUUGAUGGACAUUGAAUUUUCCAAGCUCACAGAUAGGAACGAAGACUUGUUUAUCCAGAAAAGGGAAGGGACGAUAAUUCCAGAACUCAAAGAAAUAGCAUCUUGGAGAAGAAAAUUGACAUCAGACUCUUACUGAAGAUGGCUGACAAUCAGCAUGAUGAUGAGCUGUUAAACUGUUAAAGAUCCUUAUUCAUCUUCUUCCACCCACUGCCUCUGGGAGAAGUGUUGCUGGGAGUAAAUGCUGUGUGACUUCUGCUGUGUCCUACCUGUUGGAGCAAUUGCCGGCUGGUACCACCGUUACAUCUUUGCUCACUGAAUCCAUGAAAGGGACCCUGAAGUCAGCUCAGCCGCAGUUGGUUUCUAUUGGUUGUCUAGGACAUGGAUCCUUGUACGUGUACGUGUACUUGUAGCUGUGGCAAAGAAUGACUCUUUUGCUCUUUCACUCGAUCCUGAAAGCCUGACCUGUGCUGUAGACAGACUUUUCAAAUUCUUCUGGCUGUGCAAUCUUCAGUAUUCAUGCCAACUGUCUUCUGUUUUUUUUUUUUUUUGAGUAUAUAUAUAUAUAUAUA